UUGCCGGCCCCAGUUCCCCCGAGCUUCCUCAGCUGGCCACUUAGCAGGUGCGGCCGAAUUAGGGACCCUGCGCCCAGACGACGUUGGGAGUUGGAGGUUUUUCCCUCUCCUGCUUCGGGGAGAUGAGGGACCCCUAACUCUCUACGCCGGUUCUGCGAAGGCGCCGCCCUAGGGUCACAGCACAUUGGCCCUGCCAAGAGGGACCUGGACUCUCCCCUCCCCCGGAGACACAGCCGGUGCCAGGGUCCUUCUGCCAGCCUUGCUCGACAGCGACGGCCGUGGACACAGCUUCCGCAGAAUAGCAAGGCAUUUUUUAAAGUUGACUUACAACAGGCAUCUGUUAGAUGAAUUGUCUGAGAUCACACAGCUGAUAAAAGGAGGGCAGGUACAAGAAAGCAGACCUCCUGACCCAAGUUCAAGCUCAUUCUGUGCACAAAGGCACUCUCCUCCACCAGUGUUUCACAUUGAAAUCAAGGGUGAAGAUUACGCAUGCCACAGCUGAUAUGUAAGAAUCAACGUGCACGACUCUGUGUCCACAUCCUCAGGGCUGGCAGGAGAAGACUAAGAAUGAAAACUACAUACGAAAGACUGGAGACAGAGAUAAACCAUUUUCAAGAAUAUUCAUCUUGGAAUGGAUUAAACACGGGACGGUAGGUCUGUGAGACCCCUGCGGCAGCAGCAGCAGGAGCCGCAGCAGCAGGGGUGGUCCUGCAUGCAGGCUCUGCAGAAUGACCUUUCACCAUGGACACUGCGGUCAAUGACUGCCACGUCAGCGGUGGUACUGGCUCACUCACUUCCCUGCAGCACCGUGCACCCGGUAAUGGCUCUUCCUCUCGUGAACCAGCUACCCAGAGACAAACUGCCAAGAAAACACUACCUGGGACUCAACAUCAAGCUUCCAGCCAGCUUGGAACAUUGCCCAACGCAUGCGGGCACCUGUAUUGCGUAGCAGAUCCAGCUGUGGGUUCCUCUGAAGCCAGGCUGCCUGUUGCAGCUGUAACCUGAAGCUGUCAGUAGUGAGACGUGUGCACACUCCUGGUGCAUGUGGCAGUGCUGUGGAUAGAAUGAAGGCUCACAUUUUGAAGUGGUAGGAGGGAGAAGGUGCUAUUUUGGGAUCAUCUGGAAUGAGCUUUGCUGCCUGAUUACCACAGUGGAAGUGUAAUGCUAUGGUGAUUAUGAGGUAUUAGGCUGAGUGGAAUAGUUAAUAAAUAACUGGUCAAGAAGACAGAGGCAAUGGAGGAGCCGAGAGACAAGGACGAUAUUUAUUAUUUACUAUGUGGACAGAGCAUUACACUCAAUUGCAUUGUGAUGUUCCAUGUUCUUCUGUAAGGUAGAAUCCCCAUCAGAGAUGAAAGAUUAGUAAAUGGAAUCUCUGAGAAGAAAAGCAUAUGAAGACUGCCAGCUAUGAAGACUAAAAUAAAUCCAUCAUCUUUCCCUGGUACCAUUCUGCUCCAAGCAAGAAAGAUUUUCUUUUAAAAAAAAUGGCUCCAAGGACUAGAAUUUCCUCCCAUUUCCCCCACAGCAUUGGAAACAGAGCUUAGUCAUGCAAUCAAUGGCAAUCGAGAGACUUUUAUGAAAGAAGAGACUCCAGAGGGAGGCUGGAUAUAAGGUAGCCAUCAGGGAGUCAUUUCAGUUUGGUGCUUUGGACCACUUUGACCAUCUUUCCAGACUAAUCUAAAAUCCUCCCUUCUUUGAUAAGCCUUAAUUGACCAUUUCAUCCUACCCUAUUCUGCUCUGAUUUAGAAGCAUUGUCUGUGUAAUGCAUGUAACAAUAACUCAUUUCUGCCCUUGUGAUAGCUAUUCUACAAUUGCCUUGAACUGAGAUUUCACUCUGGUCUGACGAUUUGUUUUUGUGUACAUAUGUCUACCCCAAGUUUGAUUAUAAGCACUGUAGGGUGAAGACUGUCAUAAAUAUAUUUAAAAUCCUUUCUUCUUUACUGAACCUUAGCACAGUGAUGAACACAUUGGAAAGCCUCAACACAUAUUUACUCAUUUCAUAUAAAUGUCAUGCAAUAAUUUCUGAACCAAAAAUCUGAUGGAAACCUAGUUAGCUUUUGAAGACCAGGUGUUUUUCAUUUAUUAUCUGUGGUAUUAUGCAGAAUUUGCCACAAUAAUUGGGAAGUAACUCUCGUCAGAGUCUUUUUCUCUUGAAUCUGGGUUGGCUUUUUGAUUUGUUCUGAGCAUUUGAAUGUGUUGAGAAUGAUGUACGAGAUCUGAGCUUAGGCCUCAAGGACCCAGCUGAGCCCAGCAAAAGAACUGCUUAGCUAAGACCAGCCCAAAUUGCUCACCCACAGAACUGUGAGUUAAAAAAAAAUGGUUAUUACUAUAAAUCACCAGGUUUUAGGGUGAUUUGUUAGGCAGCGAAAGUUGACUGAUACAUAAUCUUCUUUAGUUACUGUGAAAAAUCCAUGAUAUAUAUAUUUUUGUGCUAAAUUAUGGGAUAGGAAGCAAGGAUUCAGGAGUAAUGUGAGAAAGACUGAUCAUAAUUAGUCUUUUUUUGGGGGGGGGCUAUUGGAGAUUGAAUUCAGGGGCACUUGACCACCGAACCACAUCCCCAGCCCUAUUUAAAAAAUUUUUUUUUGUUUAGUUGGACAUAAUACCUUUAUUUUAUUUAUUAAUUUUUAUGUGGUGCUGAGGAUCAAACCCAGCACCUCCCAUGUGCUGGGUGAGCGCUCCACUGCUGAGCCACAACCCCAGCCCUCCCCAGCCCUAUUUUGUAUUUUAUUUAGAGACAGAGUCUCACUGAGUUGCUUUGCACCUUGCUGUUGCUGAGGCUGGCUUUGAACUCACGAUCCUCCUGUCUCAGCCUCCCGAGCUGCUGGGAUUACAGGUGUGUGCCACAGCACCUGGCCAUAAUUAGUCUUUAAGAUCUGUCAUGAGUUAGCUUCUUUUAGUAAACAUUACCUGGAUGGGGAAACAUAACAGGCAGCACAUGUCAGCCAGCAUUGGUCUGAUGUGGCGGGGCCAAAGAAAUGUUUGUUGGCAGAAGUCAGGAAAAGUUCAGACCAUGAGUUGCCUACAAUAGCUUGAAAGAACAGGCAAAGCCAAACUUGAGAACUCCUGGGUCCGUAUGUUCAUGCUGAACUGAGAUAUCCUGGAGUUCCCAAAGAGGGAAAAAACAACAGGGACUAGUAAAUUCACUGAACACAUCUUAUGUACCAGAGACUGGUAGGUUUCUAAUCCACACAAUGCAAUAUUACUUAGCCAUAAAGAAGAAUGAAAUUGUGGAUGGAACUAGAGAAUAUCAUGCUAAGUGAAAUAAGCCAGUCUCAAGAAACCAAAGGCUGAAUGUUCUCUCCAAUAUGUGGAUGCUAACCCAUAGCAAGGGAAGGCACGGAGGGGAAGUAUAGAAGUUCAUUCGAUUAGACAACGGGGAAUAAAGGGAAGAGAGAAGGGGGUGGGAGUACAAAAGACAGUAGAAUGAAUCAGACAUAACUUUCCUAUACUCAUAUAUGAACAUAAGAGCAGUGUAAUUCCACAUCAUGUUCAACCACAAGAAUGGGGUCAAAAUUGGAAUGGGUUGCACUUCAUGUAUGUAUACUAUGUCAAAAUACACCCUACUAUCAUGUAUAUCUAUAAACAAUAAAUAAAAAAAUGUCCUAGGUGAAUCUGAGAGAAAUUCAA